UGCACCAUCGGUAAGUAAACAGGAGCC
rnacentral:piRNA from 1 species